GGCUGGUCUGAUGGCAGUGGGUUAUCAGAACUUAUUAACAUUAGUGUCACUAAAGUUGGUAUACCACCCCCCCCCCCUGCUAAAUUUGACUGGCUUUAA
ensembl:misc_RNA Y_RNA Y RNA